UGAGGGAAUAUUGGGUCAAUGGGCGAGAGCCUGAACCAGCCAAGUAGCGUGAGGGAUGACUGCCCUAUGGGUUGUAAACCUCUUUUGAUUGGGAACAAAGAGCGCCACGUGUGGUGCGUUGCGUGUACCUUUCGAAUAAGCAACGGCUAAUUACGUGCCAGCAGCCGCGGUAACACGUAAGUUGCGAGCGUUGUUCGGAAUUAUUGGGCGUAAAGGGCAUGUAGGCGGUAUUGCAAGCCUGGUGUGAAAGGCAGGGGCUCAACCUCUGGACUGCGCUGGGAACUGCGAUACUAGAGUCGCUGAGGGGCAAUCAGAAUUCCAGGUGUAGGGGUGAAAUCUGUAGAUAUCUGGAAGAAUACCAAUGGCGAAGGCAGGUUGCCAGCAGAUGACUGACGCUGAGGUGCGAAGGUGCGG
rnacentral:rRNA from 1 species